CAGGGAUGUUAGCAUUUGCCAGUGACUUUUGUAAGUCUUUAGCUGACACUCUAGGAUUCUUCUUCACCUCAUUGAGCAGUCUGCGCUGUGCUCUUGCAGUCAUCUUUACAGGACGGCCACUCCUAGGGAGAGUAGCAGCAGUGCUGAACUUUCUCCAUUUAUAGACAAUUUGUCUUACCGUGGACUGAUGAACAGCAAGGCUUUUGGGGAUACUUUUAUAACCCUUUCCAGCUUUAUGCAAGUCAACAAUUCUUAAUCGUAGGUCUUCUGAGAGCUCUUUUGUGCGAGGCACCAUUCACAUCAGGCAAUGCUUCUUGUGAAAAGCAAACCCAGAACUGGUGUGUGUUUUUUAUAGGGCAGGGCAGCUGUAACCAACACAUCCAAUCUCAUCUCAUUGAUUGGACUCCAAUUGGCUGACAUCUCACUCCAAUUAGCUCUUGGAGAUGUCAUUAGUCUAGGGGUUCACAUACUUUUUCCACCUGCACUGUGAAUGUUUACAUGGUUUGUUCAAUAAAAAACAUGGCAACAUUUCAUUAUUUGUGUGUUAUUAGUUUAAGCAGACUGUGAUUGUCUAUUGUUGUGACUUAGAUGAUGAGCAGAUCACAUUUUAUGACCAGUUUGUGCAGAAAUCCAUAUCAUUCCAAAGGGUUCACAUACUUUUUCUUGCAACUGUAUAGUCUUCUGAAGCACUUCCCCACAGCCACCAUAAUCUUUCUUCAGCUUUUAUUAUGUUAUUCAUUCAUGUUAUGUAUGAGAGUAUAACAUAUAUGACUGUAGAGGAUUUCACAAGACUGUGUGAUGCUCCACAGACCAACUCUUACUAUGUGUGAAAAGAUGCUUGUGCAAUAAUAGCUAGAACUGUGGGAACCAACAAAACAAAUACUUCACCAUUUCUCAAGUUUUGCCAAACGUGCAGCUGAUCAGAAGACAAAGUAGUCCUUAGUUUGCUUAUGGUAUAUUUUGAUCAUGUUGGAAUUUCAUUUAAACUCUGACUUAGUCAGUUUAAGUAUUGCAUAAAAAUGUUAUCUUUAUAAAAUUCUCAAAUUGAUACAGCUCUGACAGAGAUAGUAAAAUUGGAAAUCUAACAUUCAGUUUUGAAAUACACUUUCUGUAUUUUCAUAUGUUUAUGCUGAAUGUAGAAGCAGUUGCACCUAUUGCUAAUUCACCAUUAAAAUGCCUAGCAAUACCUAUUACUAAUAUAUAAAGACAUAGAAUUUGUUAGGAAUGUGCCCAAUCCGAUAUUUUCAGUUUUAAAAUUCUAAACCUUUCAAUUUUAAGCACUUAGACAUAAUUUUAAAAACUCUCACAAAUGAAAAACAUUUGAGAUGAUUAUAUAUUUCAGCAUCAUAACAUAUAGACUUAAUGUAGAUCCUGGUUUUCUGACUUACUUCCAAAACUUUAUAUAAACAUACAUUUUAAUUUCUUAUGAGUUUUUUUUUAUUUGUAUUUACUACAUCUACCAUAAUGUUAUUUGAGAAUUGUACAUAUACACAUCUAUGCUGCUGUAUAUUUUUUAUUCCNNNNNNNNNNNNNNNNNNNNNNNNNNNNNNNNNNNNNNNNNNNNNNNNNNNNNNNNNNNNNNNNNNNNNNNNNNNNNNNNNNNNNNNNNNNNNNNNNNNNGAUCUCUGCUGUUGAAAGGACCACUAUUGGCACCCAGACCACUUCAGCUUAAUGAAGUGGUCUGGGUGCCAGGUCCAGCUAGGGUUAACCCAUUUUUUCAUAAACAUAGCAGUUUCAGAGAAACUGCUAUGUUUAUCAAUGGGUUAAGCCUUAUCCCAUUCCCUCUAGUGGCUGUCUCAUUGACAGCCACUAGAGGCGCUUGCAUGCUUCUCACUGUGAUUUUCACAGUGAGAGCACGCAAGCGUCCAUAGGAAAGCAUUAUGAAUGCUUUCCUAUGUGACCGGCUGAAUGCGCUCGCAGCUCUUGCCGCGCGUGCGCAAUCAGAGCCGGGCGAGAGGGGGACCCUGAGGGUGGGGGCACCCUCAGGGCACUAUAGUGCCAGGAAAACGAAUAUGUUUUCCUGGCACUAUAGUGGUCCUUUAAUGUGUGUAUUGUUUCUUCCCUGCCUAUUAUCUUAUUCUGGUCAUUUUCAACCACUCUGCACCUUUCACCCUCAGACCUAUCUUCUAUUAUUUAAUACAUCCCAUUCACCUCCCUUCUCUACUCUAACAACAUCAGUUGUUUAAGUGUUAAACUCUGCGAUAUUGUUCAAUAUUGCAAAUUCUGCAAAGUAUCCAGAUGGUGACAGUGCUGCUUAAAAAAAUUAAAAAAUGUUGCCACAUAUAUUAGUCAUUAAGCUAAUUAGGAAUGUUCUAACCGUUGCCGUAUAAGUACUGAUCAUUCUGACCACUCUGUCAAUACAUUGAAGCAAUAAAAACUGGCAAAUGUUAACAACAUAUCCACAAUAAUUUGGAUACUAUGAUAUUUACACUUGUAUUAGUUUUAACCAGGCAAGAACUAGAUGAGCUACAUUUGUCAUCUCAACGUGCAGAAUAGGUACCAAGGCACUUGGGGUUANNNNNNNNNNNNNNNNNNNNNNNNNNNNNNNNNNNNNNNNNNNNNNNNNNNNNNNNNNNNNNNNNNNNNNNNNNNNNNNNNNNNNNNNNNNNNNNNNNNNAAGGAACGCUUUGAUAAGUAAAGCAUUUACUGUCAGCCUCCUUCCAGAACCCUGCAGAAUUGCCUGUUAUAGCAUCCUCUUUACGUGAUUGAAAACAACAUGACUUCAACAAAGCCAUGUGCUGUGGAAUCUUCAUGGAGUGACAGUGUAAAUUGAAUAUAUUCAUGAGUGAAGGAUCAACUGAACAAAUAUUUAUUUAUUUAUUUAUUUAACUGAAAGAGAAAAUGUCAAAUAUUAAUUGAUUUUAAAAGAAAUCAUCUGGAAAAAAAUAUAAGAGAAAGAGAGAGGAAGAUUAUACUUGGUAUGGUAUAUGGAUUUCUCCAAAAACCCCCCAUGAAAUUAUUUUUUGUUUUUUUUCUAAUUCAUGUUUAGCAUUACAACACUUUUAAACUGCAUUAUUGUCUAGAUUUGGGAUUAAGGUUUCAUUGUGACUGGGGGAAAGUGCAAAUUUUGGUAAAUGUCAAUUCAGUCUCUCUUCCAUUACUCAUAUGUUGGAAGAGAGGGUCUGAAGAGAGGUGUCAGUGUGCUUGAUUCAGCACUGCCUCUCUCCAUUAUUCAGGGUAGAAUUAAUUUAUCCAUAGUUCUGGGAAGCAUCUUCAUAAAUUAAAUUGAAGUGACUGUUUUCUGUUUAUUUGUAGUCAGUGGCAUCUCCAGGAUUCAUAUUUGGGGGUGGGGGGGUGGGAGGGAUGGGGCACAUUAGGGGCCAGGGACAAAAGUAGGGCGGUAGUUAUAAAACAUGUAUAUACAUGUAUAUAUGUGUGUGUGUGUGUGUAUGUAUAUAGUCCCAAUGGCGACUUGACAUUUCGCCCUGGUGCCUGGCAUUUGUCAGCCCUUUGCUAACUGAUGCAGGAAACACGAAAGCCUGCCGCUGUGGGGAGCAUGGAGGCGGCACGCAAGGGAGCAGUAACCUUCCUGCAGGUCCUCUCUGCUCCCUUGCACUCUGUUUAGUGACAUGGACGUCACACCANNNNNNNNNNNNNNNNNNNNNNNNNNNNNNNNNNNNNNNNNNNNNNNNNNNNNNNNNNNNNNNNNNNNNNNNNNNNNNNNNNNNNNNNNNNNNNNNNNNNGCCCCGGCAUCACUACAGAGAGCGCGCAGGGGAGCAGAUAGAAACUGCAGGAAGAUUAGAGAGGAGACCCAUUAAACGCCAGGGAAAGAUCCACUCAGCUUUCCCAAAGGUAGGGAGGCUGGGUGAAUUUAAAUAAAAAAUAAAAAUACCAAUUUGGGAGUGUGUAAGAAAAUGUGUGUGUAUCAGAGUGUGGGUGUGUGUCCAGGGCCAGUGCAAGCAAUUUUGCUGCCCAUGCAAAAACACAUUUGCUGCCCCAUUUGCUCCACCCAAUCAUGCAGACUGCCACACACACUGACUCAAGUAGACACACACUGACCCAUGCAAACUGACGCACAUGCACUGACCCAUGUAGACUGACGCACACCGACCCAUAUACACACACUGAUCCAUGCAGACACACACAUACAGACACACUGAACCAUGCAGACACAUACAAACAUAUAUACACACUGACCCAAGCAGACACACAAUGACCCAUACAGACACACACACUGACCCCUGCACACACACACUGAUCCAUACAGGCACACAAUGACCUAUACAGACAAACAAUAACCCAUACAGACACACACUGACCCAUUCAGACACACUAUAACUCAUACAGACACACACACUGACCCACACAGACACACAAUAACCCAUAGAGAACCACAAUAACCCAUACAGACACUCAAUGACCCGUGCAGACACACAACAACCCAUACAGACACACAAAACCCAUAAAGACACACAAUGACCAAUCCAGAUACACACACUGACUCAUACAGACACACACACUGACCAAUACAGACACACACACUGACCCAUACAGACACAAACAGUGACCCAGACAGACAUUACACACAUGACAGACACACACACCGAACCAUACGGACAGACAUUACACACAUGACAGGCACACCAGACACACACACUGACCAUACAGACAGACAUUACACACAUGAAAGACACACAUUGACCCAUACAGACACACAAUGACCCAUACACACACACUUACCCAUACAAACAGACAUUACACAUGACAUACACAUAUAUUGACCCAUACAGACACACACAAUGGCUCAUACAGACACACACACUGACUCAUGCAGACACACAUACUGACCCACACAGAUACAUAUGUUAUGACCCAUACAGACACACAAUGACCUAUACAGACACACACUGUGGAGACAGGCUCAGGUACUGAGUGUAGUGGUGUUGUGGAGACAGGCUCCGGCACUGAUUGUAGUGGUAUUGUGGAGACAGGUUCAGGCACAAAGUGUAGUGGAGUUGUGGAGACAGGCUCAGGCACCAAGACUAUGAUGAGGCGUAAUAGAAAGCAGUUGUUGUUGGGGGAUUCUGGACAAUAGGGGUCUUGUGAGAUGUCUUCCCGAAGCUACUGCUCACAGAGUCAGGAGACGUAUUUGUAAUAUUGUUAAGGGAAUUGGAUGUGCUUGUUCAUCUAGGGACAAAUGACUUGGCUUGCAAUGAGGUUUCAAAGGUAAAGGCAGUGUUUUGUGUUUUUGCCAGUGAUAUACAGAAGGUUGCUUCCACACUGUCAUUCUCUGAAGUUCUGCCUUUGUAUAACACUCUGAAUGACAGGCAGAUGUGUAGUACGUUAACUUGUGGCUUGGUGAAUGGUAUCAGGAGCAAGGAUUUGGCUUCAUUUCUCAUGGUAGCUCUGUUUGGAAUGGAAAUAAUCUGUACAAAAAAGAUGGUUUGCAUCUUUCUCAAAAGGGAGCAAAUGUUCUCAGUGAGGUUUGCUUGGACAUAUUUAAACUAGGAGGGGUAGGUGAGGGGCAAAAGGGUGAUUAAACAUCAAUCCAAUUGCCCCUCAAAACAAGGACAGAAUGUGACUCUAGCAAGUGUAUUAAAAAACUAUAAGCUUAGAGCAGUGAUGGCACACGGCCAUAGGUUCGCCGGAGGGAGGGAGGGUGCGCUCCGCCGGCGCAUCCAUAAGGCGGCACAAGUGGCCACCUUAGGGUGUACCGGCCCGGCAGGCGCAAAGCCGGAGUGACCGGCAGGAGGUGAACGCAUAGCGCAUAGCGCUCCCUCCUGCCAGGCACUCUGUGUAGCGAGGUGGACGGAAAUGAAGUGCUCACAGAGAGAGCACUUCCUGUCCGCCGGGUACAGGAAACUGAGGAAACUGAGCUCCGCGCUCGGCCACGCUACAAGGUAGGAGAUCCAGGACAAGUGGGGGGAGGGGUGGGGGGAAUGAAAACUAGGAGAGGGAUGGAGNNNNNNNNNNNNNNNNNNNNNNNNNNNNNNNNNNNNNNNNNNNNNNNNNNNNNNNNNNNNNNNNNNNNNNNNNNNNNNNNNNNNNNNNNNNNNNNNNNNNGGGAGGAGGGAGAGACACAGGGAAAGGGGGGAGGAAGAGAGAUGGGGAGGAAGGAGAGACACAGGGAAAGGGGGGAGGGAGAGAACAGGGAAAGGGACAGAGGGGGAAGAGAGAGACAAAGAGGGAGAAAUGAGAGAGACACACAAGGGGAGGGGAAGAAAGAGGCAGAGGGGGAAGAGAGAGACUGGGAAGGAGAGGGGAGACAUUGACACAUACACACACUGCCCACACACACACACACACCAUACACAUUCACACACUGCCCACACACACACACACACACACAUAUACACAUUCACACACUGCCCCCACACACACACACCAUACACAUUCACACAUGCCCCCCCCACACACACACCAUACACAUUCACACACUGCCCCCCACACCCACACACUGAACCUUUCACACACAUUGCACCCCUCACACAUUGCACCACUGCUCCUAUACCCUACUACAGCCCCAUAUCCCAGCAGACUCCAGAUAAGUUGUCAAACUGUUCUUAAACGGUUUGACUACUUACUCUGGGAGGGGGUGCCAACACUCCUGGCACCAUAACCACUACACAGAGGAGUAGUGGUUAUUGUUCAUGGAAUAUUUCUUUAAAUAAUCUACAAGUGCCCCUCCCAGGCUCAGGCUCUGGAUCCGUCACUGGUAUAUGACAUGUAUAAUAAUGUGUAUAUUUGUUAUAUAUAUAUAUAUAUAAAAUAUUUACACAUAUUAAUGUACAUUUAUAUAUGCAUAAUACACAGAGAAAUUUCAUUAAUAUGUACCAUAUGUAAUGAGCAGAUAUUGGCCCAAUCUUGCUGCUAGGUGCAUACUCCAGCACAAUAACAUAUUUAAAGUGAAGAGCACACCAACAGGACUUCAGAAUAAACAUUUUUUACAGUUGUGCCCUACAUACAUUCACCAUUUCAGUCCCAUUAACAAGCUUUCCUUAAUAUGUCAAGGUAGUUGGACUGAAACAUUGAUUACAUGCAAAGGCACGUCUGCUUAAAAUAAAUCUGCACUUUUGUUUAUUUUGAAGCCUAUGAGUGCGCUUUUUACGUUAAGGUACUUUUUAAUUUUAAGUUAUCUGUUCUAACUCUGUAUCUGCACACUAUGCUGGCGCGACGCAUUAUGGGGCUGGUAAUAUGCGCCAAUGAGGCGCAAUUUGGAAGUCAAGUCUUUAACUCAGUUCAAUCGUAUAUAAUCUAUGUUAAAUUGUUUUGUUUAUUUGAUUUUCAGUUAUUUGCAUUUCUGUCCCUCCCUUGGAAGCUUGGGUAUUCCCAUUUGUAUAUGCUGCCAUGAUUAGCCAGGAAAGUGGAAAAUGUAUUCAUACUUACCGUAAUUUUCUUUUCCUGGGUAUUAUUCAUGGCAGCAUAUACUACCCACCCAUUAAUAUGUCUCUAUUUAUCUACUGUAGAGCUUGUUACUGACUGCGAACCUUAGAAAUGGAGCCUCCUUUUAAAGCCUUUGGUGUUUUUCCUGUCUUAUCGGCUGUAAGGGGCGGAGCUAACGCAUUUGUGUAUGCUGCCAUGAAUAAUAGCCAGGAAAAGAAAAUUACGGUAAGUAUGAAUACAUUUUCAGCUAUAUAUACGUGUGUGUGUAUAUGUGUGUGUGUGUGUGUGUGUGUAUAUAUAUAUAUAUAUAUAUAUAUAUAUAUAUAUAUAUAUAUAUACAGUUGCAAGAAAACGUAUGUGAACCCUUUGGAAUGAUAUGGAUUUCUGCACAAAUUGGUCAUAAAAUGUGAUCUGAUCAUCAUCUAAGUCACAACUAAUAGACAAUCACAGUCUGCUUAAACUAAUAACUCACAAAGAAUGAAAUGUUGCCAUGUUUUUAUUGAACACACCAUGUAAACAUUCACAGUGCAGGUGGAAAAGUAUGUGAACCCUUGGAUUUAAUAACUGGUUGAACCUCCUUUGGCAACAAUAACUUCAACCAAACGUUUCCUGUAGUUGCAGAUCAGACGUGCACAACGGUCAGGAGUAAUUCUUGACCAUUCCUCUUUACAGAACUGUUUCAGUUCAGCAAUAUUCUUGGGAUGUCUGGUGUGAAUCGCUUUCUUGACGUCAUGCCACAGCAUCUCAAUCGGGUUGAGGUCAGGACUCUGACUGGGCCACUUCAGAAGGCGUAUUUUCUUCUGUUUAAGCCAUUCUGUUGUUGAUUUACUUCUAUGCUUUGGGUCAUUGUCCUGUUGCAACACGCAUCUUCUGUUGAGCUUCAGCUGGUAGACAGAUGGCCUUAAGUUCUCCUGCAAAAUGUCUUGAUAAACUCGGGAAUUCAUUUUUCCUUCGAUGAUAGCAAUCUGUCCAGGCCCAUACGCAGCAAAGCAGCCCCAAACCACGAUGCCUCCACCACCAUACUUCACAGUUGGGAUGAAGUUUUGAUGUUGAUGUGCUGUGCCUUUUUUUUUGCCACACAUAGUGUUGUGUGUUUCUUCCAAACAACUCAACUUUGGUUUCAUCUGUCCACAGAAUAUUUUGCCAGUACUGCUGUGGAACAUCCAGGUGCUCUUGUGCAAACUGUAAACGUGCAGCAAUGUUUUGUUUGGACAGCAGUGGCUUCCUCUGUGGUAUCCUCUCAUGAAAUCCAUUCUUGUUUAGUGUUUUAUGUAUUGUAGAUUUGCCAACAGGGAUGUUAGCUUUUGUAAGUCUUUAGCUGACACUCUAGGAUUCUUCUUCACCUCAUUGAGUAGUCUGCGCUGUGCUCUUGCAGUCAUCUUUACAGGACGGCCACUCCUGGGGAGAGUAGCAGCAGUGCUGAACUUUCUCCAUUUAUAGACAAUUUGUCUAACCGUGGACUGAUUAACAGCAAGGCUUUUGGAGAUACUUUUAUAACCCUUUCCAGCUUUAUACAAGUCAACAAUUCUUAAUCGUAGGUCUUCUGAGAGCUCUUUUGUGCGAGGCAUCAUUCACAUCAGGCAAUGCUUCUUGUGAAAAGCAAACCCAGAACUGGUGUGUGUUUUUUAUAGGGCAG
rnacentral:lncRNA from 1 species